CAAAUCCAAUAAAAAAAACUCAGCUUUUCGCCCUUUUCAGCUCUUCAGCCUCUCUCUCUCUCUCUCAAAAGCUUAGGUUUUUAUUCUCUAGCAAGAGCUCAAGAAGAGGAUUGGACUGAUGCAUGGUAAUCGGACUAUUGAUUUGGAUAUUAAAACCUCGGGUUUUGGGUUUCAUCAGCAUUCAUUGCUUCUUUCAUCCACAAAUACCACCGGCAACAGAGGUCUGAUGGACACAAAGACUAUAGAAGGCCUAGUUAACAGCAUUUCUCGAUUUAUUCACUUAGUUGCCUGCAAGACCAUGAAAACCACGCCACUUCAAAAAAACUACCGAGAUAUGGUUUCUCUAUUGAGGAAUUUGAAGCCUGUUCUUGAUGAAGUCGUUGGUUCUAGCAUACCUUCAGAUGAACUACUGCUGAAAGAAUUUGAGGAAUUGGAUAUGGCCGUUAACGAGGCUAGAGAAUUCAUGGAGAAUUGGUGUCCAAAGAUGAGCAAGAUAUGCAGUGUUCUAGAGAGUGAGCCGUUGGUGAUGAAGGUCCAAAGCUCUUCCAUGGAGAUCUGUCAUAUAUUGAAUGGAUUGCUACAGUCAUCUCAUUUUACUUCGCAUUUAGCUUAUGUUCAGCACUGUAUGCAGGAACUUCAAUGUGCAGAGCAGGAGAGAACGCCCGAGCUCAUAGAAGAAGCUCUAAGAGAUCAAAGAGACAAUCUCAUGCCUAGUGCUGACCUUCUAAUAAAGAUUGUGGAGUCACUCAGCCUGACAUCAAAUCAAGAGUUGCUAGCAGAAAGCAUGGCACUGGAAAAGAAAAGAUUGAAGGCUGAGCUGAAGAAGAAUAAAGGAGAUGUCGAAUACAUAGAUCAGGUUAUCGAUCUUGUCGUGCAUAUGCGUGAUUGCAUGGUUAAACUCGAACAGUUCAAGGCGAUAAAUGGGAUACCCAUUCCUUCAUAUUUCCGGUGCCCCUUGUCACUGGAACUGAUGAUGGAUCCUGUGAUCGUGGCCUCAGGACAGACAUACGAGAGGGCUUUCAUCCAAAGGUGGCUUGAUCAAGGGCUGAAAAUCUGUCCCAAGACCCGUCAAACUCUCACUCACAUCAAUCUAAUUCCGAACUACACCGUGAAGGCGUUGAUCGCAAAUUGGUGCGAAGACAACAACAUAAAGUCUUUCAAUUCUCUUGAGUCGACCAAUAUUUCAAACAAUAUUUCAUCCCGUUCCUUAUCUAACUGUGCUCCUGAGGACAAUGCCCAUGUAGACAGUUUCCGCGGUUCUUUGCAUAGCAAUUCCACCUCACAUUCCUCCCUUGAAGUUGGAAAUGGGUCUGAGAGGCAAAUGACAAAAAGUGGUGUGGAAGACUCCAACUUGGUAGAUAAAAAGGUUUGCUACAUCACCUGUCAUCAAAUACCAUCUGAUAAUGCGUCUUCAAAAUGUAAUAUGUCCCUUGAACAGUCAUAUAGUCAUAGCCGAAGCGAAUCCACUUCAAGUGUUGUUUCUAGCAUUGAACAUGCCCCUGCAGCUGUUUUUACUGAAGUUUCAAAGCUAUCGACUAGAUGCGAUGAAAUAAGUGAGGUGUUGGGAGAAGUGAUAUCAGAGUGUCCAGCUUCAUCUCCUUCGAAUAAAGAUUUGGGUUUUUCUCCAUGGCUAUCAGGUAAUCAAUUUUGCAGCUCACUUCCAAGAGCACGGACUGAAAAUGGGAACGGGACACACCACAGAACUCGCUCUUCUCCAUUCUUAGACAGUGACGAUUUAACGACUUCUUCACAUGUCGAGAAACUGGUUGAGGAUCUAAGAAGUCGAUCAAGUGAAGUGCACACUGCGGCAGCAGCUGAGCUCCGUCGGCUCACAAAGCACAACAUGGAAAACCGCAUCAUUAUUGCAAGGUGUGGGGCCAUCGCACCGCUGGUUGCAUUGUUGAACUCGAUGAUAAAGACAACCCAAGAGAAUGCUGUUACAGCCCUUCUAAACCUAUCGAUCAAUGAUGACAACAAGACCUUUAUUGCGGAAGCUGGAGCAAUUGAGCCACUCAUCCAAGUUUUGAAGUCAGGAAAUGCAGAGGCUAAAGAGAACUCUGCUGCCACAUUGUUCAGCCUAUCUGUAUUGGAAGAGUACAAGAUAAAGAUUGGUCGAUCUGGUGCAGUUAAGGCCUUGGUCAACCUUCUAGGGAAUGGCACCCUUAGAGGAAAGAAAGACGCCGCUACAGCGUUAUUCAAUCUAUCAAUCUUUCACGAGAAUAAGGCACGCAUUGUCCAAGCUGGAGCUGUCAAGUACCUGGUCGAGCUGAUGGACCCUGACACAGGGAUGGCUGAUAAGGCCGUCGCCCUUUUGGCGAAUCUGGCAACAAUUCCGGAAGGACGUGCAGCUAUUACUCGAGAAGGUGGAAUUCCAUUACUAGUUGAGAUUGUCGAGUCGGGUUCUCAAAGGGGGAAGGAAAAUGCCGCCUCUGCCUUGUUGCAGCUCUGUAUUAAUAGCCACAAGUUUUGUAGUCUGGUGCUGCAAGAAGGAGCUGUACCGCCUUUGGUUGCAUUGUCUCAGUCGGGUACACCAAGAGCAAAAGAAAAGGCGCAACAGAUUCUGAGUCAUUUUCGGAACCAGCGAGAGGGGAGUAUGGGGAAGGUGAAAUCAUGAUUCUUGAAUUUUGUUGAUUACGAUCUCAUUUCUAGUCUCCUCAUGGGCUCGUCUCCAUGAGGCAAAGUCGACCGGUCCACCGCUUCGAUGUAAGAUGGGUGUACGCCUGCCUCACCCGAUGAUUUGACCUUAUACCUUGUUGAGAGUAUAAUUGCUUGUGCAAUAUCUGUGGCAUGCUUGUGAAAUUUGCAACCCUGUGGAUGAACAUGGAUGACCGAAAUGUGAUGUGGCUAGUAUGGCUUCAGGAGAUUUGCGUUCAUCGGUCAGAUUUUGAAGACAUGGCACAUAUUAGCACCUGGAAGAGACGUGGUCAAUCAAAAUUGCUAUUUUUUUUUUCCCCAUUUCAAGUGGGGAGGGAGCACUUUCCACGAUGGUUGUAGAUUCAAUGAUAAGGGCUUGUUUGUUUUGCAAAUUUCAUGACAAUGUAACUUAAAUAAGCUUUCCGUUGCUAAUUUACAGUGUUUGUUAAACUAGUACUUGUAGUACAUAAUCUGAGGGUCAAAUGUAAAUGUAUAGGAGUUGAAUUUGUAAUCAUUCCAGCUUUACAUUAUAAAAUUGUAAAGGCCACAAUUUUAUAUGAUAAAACAAACAAUGUAAGCAAUGUUAUGAUUGCAAUUUGAAUAAAUAAAGUAAUUUGUAAUUAUUA